rnacentral:rRNA from 1 species
AUACGGAGGGUCCAAGCGUUAUCCGGAAUCAUUGGGUUUAAAGGGUCCGCAGGCGGUCAAUUAAGUCAGAGGUGAAAGCCCAUCGCUCAACGAUGGAACUGCCUUUGACACUGGUUGACUUGAGUUAUACGGAAGUAGAUAGAAUAAGUAGUGUAGCGGUGAAAUGCAUAGAUAUUACUUAGAAUACCGAUUGCGAAGGCAGUCUACUACGUAUAUACUGACGCUGAGGGACGAAAGCGUGGGGAGCGAACAGGAUUAGAUACCCCAGUAGUCC